UGGGGAAUUUUGGACAAUGGGCGAAAGCCUGAUCCAGCAAUGCCGCGUGUGUGAAGAAGGCCUUCGGGUUGUAAAGCACUUUUGUCCGGAAAGAAAUCCUUGGCUCUAAUACAGUCGGGGGAUGACGGUACCGGAAGAAUAAGCACCGGCUAACUACGUGCCAGCAGCCGCGUAAUACGUAGGGUGCAAGCGUUAAUCGGAAUUACUGGGGCGUAAAGCGUGCGCAGGCGGUUUGCUAAGACCGAUGUGAAAUCCCGGGCUCAACCUGGGAACUGCAUUGGUGACUGGCAGGCUAGAGUAUGGCAGAGGGGGUAGAAUUCCACGUGUAGCAGUGAAAUGCGUAGAGAUGUGGAGGAAUACCGAUGGCGAAGGCAGCCCCCUGGGCAA
rnacentral:rRNA from 1 species